ACGAACGCUGGCGGCGUGCUUAACCCAUGCAAGUCGAACGGAAAGGCCCUGCUUGCAGGGUACUCGAGUGGCGAACGGGUGAGUAACACGUGGGUGAUCUGCCCUGCACUUCGGGAUAAGCCUGGGAAACUGGGUCUAAUACCGGAUAGGAGCCAUUUUUAGUGUGAUGGUUGGAAAGUUUUUUCGGUGUAGGAUGAGCUCGCGGCCUAUCAGCUUGUUGGUGGGGUAAUGGCCUACCAAGGCGGCGACGGGUAGCCGGCCUGAGAGGGUGGACGGCCACAUUGGGACUGAGAUACGGCCCAGACUCCUACGGGAGGCAGCAGUGGGGAAGAUUGCACAAUGGGCGCAAGCCUGAUGCAGCGACGCCGCGUGGGGGAUGACGGCCUUCGGGUUGUAAACUCCUUUCGCUAGGGACGAAGCUUUUUGUGACGGUACCUAGAUAAGAAGCACCGGCUAACUACGUG
rnacentral:rRNA from 1 species